GUGGGAUUACCUAUGGUGGCAUAGUCUUGUGCUUCCUCUGUGAGACUCGCUGGGCUGAGCAGAUGGCAGUGGCCUGGCAGUCACAGCAUGGGUGUAGCGCAUUCUAACCAAUCACAAACAACUCUGUUGAGUUUAUGAAUGCAGUGACCAAUCAGAGGCGUUCAGAUGAGUCAUCUCUUAAGUUUUGUUGUUCAGUGCGCACAACAAAACAACAAAGUCCAGAUGUACAUGCGAUACCAAACUUUGAGAACUCUGACAGUGUACAACUGAACACACCCAUUACGUCUUUGUACAAGCCUCAGUCAGCAAGAACGUGCUCUACCAGCUCUUGUUAUGGCAUCUCAGAUGAGGAAGAAGACUCUCAUCACCGAGGCAUGUCCUGUAUAAAGAGCAUGAAACGGAGAAGACGAUGUUUGUUACAUAUUGAUGCCUAUCAGCCCUGAAGAUGGGAGCCAUGUUUCAUCCCCCCUGCGCUUCUCCGCUGCUUGGCAGACAUGCCCCUUGCCGCUGCAUAAUCAUAUUAAUUUAUGCCCUGAAUCAAUUAUGCAUUCAGAUUCUCCUGAUAGCUUGUCACUUUUUAUCCAUUAGUCUUUGUGCGCCGGUUGUGGGAUGGUAAAUAAAUAGAGAACACAACACGCCCCGCGUCGCCGGAGGUGUGGUGAGGCAUCCGAGUGUAUUUGUGGAGAUUUAAGGGUUAUUAAGCGAAAAGGGGGCAGUCUCUUUAAUUUUUCUUAUCUUGUUUGACACCUCGGCGGGUUUGUUAAUGGCGGCGAAGGAGGGGCCGACAGGGCUGAAGGUGUCACAUCCGAGUCGUAUUUAACAAAGAGAGAGGAAGUUCACCAGGACGCUUGCCAUAAACGAUCACACCACAAAAUGCAAAUAGUUCCUCUGAUGAGGCAUGUUGCUGCUCUCUUGACAGUGUCAGAAUAGCGCAAUUACCUGGGAGAAGAGAGCUGGCACUGGAGGGAGGUACGGGCUGGAGGAGACAGACUUCGGCAUCUGGGCUCGUGUUCACAAAUUGUCUUAUUGCCGAGAGUGUUGAUGCGGAAUGGGAUAUCCGCCUCCGAACUGACCUUAAACAAGAUAUGGAAGGAUGAUUCACAAGCACUGUCAGGAGGACCAGCUGUGACGUGGACUUCUCAUUGAGAGACUGCACAACUAUCACUGUGUGUUUGCUGCUAAUGGCAAAACUCAUUUGUUUAAAUAUAUACUAUUUGGAUAGAGAGCUAAUGGUGAGCAGCUCUCUCAGGCUAAAUGGCCACUUGCAUGCUUGGUAGUCCAGCAAACUGUAUGUAGGCUGCUGAGGGGACCAACUACACUUCUAAUUUAGAU